rnacentral:misc_RNA from 1 species
GAUGAAGAACGCAGCGAAAUGCGAUAAGUAAUGUGAAUUCCAGAAUUCAGUGAAUCAUCGAAUCUUUGAACGCACAUUGCGCCCGGUAGUAUUCUGCCGGGCAUGCCUGUUCGAGCGUCAUUUCAACCAUCAAGCCCCAGCGCUUGUGUUGGGGGCCUGCGGCUGCCGCAGCCCCCUAAAAGCAGUGGCGGGCUCGCUAUCACACCGAGUGCAGUAGUUCAUCUUCUCUCCGGUCUUGUGAGGCGGGUUCCGGCCGUGAAACACCCCACUACAUUCAAGGUUGACCUCGGAUCAGGUAGGAAUACCCGCUGAACUUAAGCAUAUCAAUAAGCGGAGGA